UACGAAGGGGGCUAGCGUUGUUCGGAUUUACUGGGCGUAAAGCGCGCGUAGGCGGGUUGGUAAGUCAGGGGUGAAAUCCUGGAGCUCAACUCCAGAACUGCCUUUGAUACUGGCAACCUAGAGGCUGGAAGAGGUUAGUGGAAUUCCCAGUGUAGAGGUGAAAUUCGUAGAUAUUCGGAAGAACACCAGUGGCGAAGGCGACUCACUGGACAUGUAUUGACGCUGAGGUGCGAAAGCGUGGGGAGCAAACAGG
rnacentral:rRNA from 1 species